rnacentral:rRNA from 1 species
GACGAACGCUGGCGGCGUGCUUAACACAUGCAAGUCGAACGCUGAAGCUUGGUGCUUGCACUGGGUGGAUGAGUGGCGAACGGGUGAGUAAUACGUGAGUAACCUGCCCUUGACUCUGGGAUAAGCCUGGGAAACUGGGUCUAAUACUGGAUACGACAUGUCACCGCACGGUGGUGUGUGGAAAGGGUUUUACUGGUUUUGGAUGGGCUCACGGCCUAUCAGCUUGUUGGUGGGGUAAUGGCUCACCAAGGCGACGACGGGUAGCCGGCCUGAGAGGGUGACCGGCCACACUGGGACUGAGACACGGCCCAGACUCCUACGGGAGGCAGCAGUGGGGAAUAUUGCACAAUGGUCGGAAGCCUGAUGCAGCGACGCCGCGUGAGGGAUGACGGCCUUCGGGUUGUAAACCUCUUUCAGCACGGAAGAAGCGAAAGUGACGGUACGUGCAGAAGAAGCGCCGGCUAACUACGUG